rnacentral:rRNA from 1 species
UACGGAGGGGGCUAGCGUUGUUCGGAAUUACUGGGCGUAAAGCGCACGUAGGCGGCUUUGUAAGUUAGAGGUGAAAGCCCGGGGCUCAACUCCGGAAUUGCCUUUAAGACUGCAUCGCUAGAAUUGUGGAGAGGUAAGUGGAAUUCCGAGUGUAGAGGUGAAAUUCGUAGAUAUUCGGAAGGACACCAGUGGCGAAGGCGACUUACUGGACACAUAUUGACGCUGAGGUGCGAAAGCGUGGGGAGCAAACAGGG